GGGCACUUAUGGGGCUGGAAGGGCACUUAUGGGGCAGGGGGGGUCACUUAUGGGGCUGAAGGGGGCACUUAUGGGGCUAGAAGGUCACUUAUGGGGCCUGGGGGGGCACUUAUGGGGCUGAAGGGGUCACUUAUGGGGCUGGAAAGGCACUUAUGGGGCUGGGGGGGUCACUUAUGGGGCUGGAAGGGCACUUCUGGGGCUGGAAGGGCACUUAUGGGGCUGGGGAGGUCACUUAUGGGGCUGGGGAAGGCACUUAUGGGGCUUGUAGGUCACUUAUGGAGCUGAAGGUGUCACUUAUGGGGCUGAAGGUGUCACUUAUGGGGCUGGAAAGGCACUUAUGGGGCUUGAAGGGCACUUAUGGGGCUGAAGGUGUCACUUAUGGGUCUGAAGGUGUCACUUAUGGGGCUGGUGGGUCACUUAUGGGGCUGGAAGGGCACUUAUGGGGCUGGGGGGGGGCACUUAUGGGGCUGGAAGGGCACCUAUGGGGCUGGGGGGUAACUUAUGGGGCUGAAGGGGUCACUUAUGGGGCUGGAAGGACACAUAUGGGGCUGGUGGGGUCACUUAUGGGGCUGGAAAGGCACUUUAUGGGUAUGGGGUGUCACUUGUGGGGCAGCCCCACACUUAUGGGGCAGCCCCACACUUGUGGGGCAGACCCACACUUAUGGGGCAAGCCCCACUUAUGGGUCAGAGCCCACUUAUAGGGCAGCCCCACACUUAUGGGUCAGCGCCACACUUAUGGGGCAGCCCCACACUUGUGGGUCAGGCCCACACUUAUGGGGCAGAUGCCACUUAUGGGGCAGCACAACACUUAUGGGGCAGAGCCCACUUAUGGGGCAGCCCCACACUUAUGGGUCAGACCCCACUUAUGGGUCAGCCCCCACUUAUGGAGCAGCCCUCCACAGCCCCACACUUAUGGGGUCAGAGCCCACUUAUGGGUCAGCCCCACACUUAUGGGUCAGCCCCACACUUAUGGGGCAGCCCCACACUUAUGGGGCAGCCCCACACUUAUGGGGUCAGAGCCCACUUAUGGGGCAGCCCCACACUUAUGGGUCAGCCCCACACUUAUGGGGCAGCCCCACACUUAUGGGGCAGCCCCACACUUAUGGGGCAGCCCCACACUUAUGGGGCAGACCCCACUUAUGGGGCAGCCCUCCACAGCCCCACACUUAUGGGGUCAGAGCCCACUUAUGGGGCAGACCCACACUUAUGGGGCAGACCCACACUUAUGGGGCAGCCCCCCACCUCAGCAUCCCUUUCAGUCUCCGCCGUCUCUCCCUCAUCCCCCUCAGCACCGCGUCGUCCGCCGCCUCCUCCUCAUCCGAAUCUAUGGGGCAGAGCAGACGUGGGUCAGCACAUGUGGGGCUGCCCCAUAAGUGUGGGGCUGACCCCCAAGUGUGGGGCUGCCCCAUAAGUGCUCUGUUCUCACCCAGCGCUUCCUGCAGCAGUUCAAUGGCGGCCGCUUUCUGCCCCACGGCGCAGCCCCACGGCGAUGGAGGGAGGGCCUGCCCCAUAGAAACACAUUGA
rnacentral:lncRNA from 1 species